UACGUAGGGUGCAAGCGUUGUCCGGAAUUAUUGGGCGUAAAGAGCUCGUAGGCGGUCUGUCGCGUCUGCUGUGAAAACUCAGGGCUUAACCCUGAGCUUGCAGUGGGUACGGGCAGACUAGAGUGCGGUAGGGGAGACUGGAAUUCCUGGUGUAGCGGUGAAAUGCGCAGAUAUCAGGAGGAACACCGGUGGCGAAGGCGGGUCUCUGGGCCGUAACUGACGCUGGAGGAGCGAAAGCAUGGGGAGCGAACAGG
rnacentral:rRNA from 1 species